UUCGUAUGGCGCUUUUUUUUCCCCCGAAAAUUCUAAUCUCGCGCUCUCGCUCCAGACCCAAACUCUAAAAUUCCAAUACCCACUCUCGCCCUGCCUCUCUCUCGCACUCUAGCUCCCUCUGUCUCUCUAUCUUUGGUUCUAUCCUGCCUCUCUUCCUAUUUCGCUAGGAGAUUAGCCAGUAAUCUCAACACCUCCUCUCGUCAUCUUUCUGUCUCUCUCUGUGUCUCUGUCUUUGGUUCUAUCUCUUCUAACGCAAACCCGCGCUUCCUCUCUCUCAUCCACAAACUCUCCAAAUCUCACAAAUAUUUCUGAGUUCAACACCAAAAUAGCAAGGUUUCGAUUUUUCCGUGAAUUUGCUAUAUGGAUCUCAGCUCUUUGGAAAAGGAUUCUAUCAAGUAUUGAAGGAGAAGAGCAAACACUUUGACGAAAAUGUGAGUGACAACAAGAGCUUGAUUAUCAAUGUUGAGUU